rnacentral:piRNA from 1 species
AACNGCAUGAAGCCAAUUAAAUGUGUUUU